UUGUUCUUAGGUUGGAUAAUUGGGAUUAGGUUUUGAUUAUUGAUUUUUGAAUUGAAAAGUGUAGAAACCAUCGAAAUUGUGUUAAGAAUCGAUGUUCAGAUUGUAGAAUAAACAUAGGUUGAGUUUCCUAUCAAAUUUGGGGUUUGGGUGGAUGAAAAAUUGGGUUUUUGGCUGAAAACUGGUCUGUUCCCGUAGAGUUGUUCGUCGCAACUCGCCACAGCGAGUAAACUUACUCGCCUCGCGAGCUGCACAGCGACAGCAUCACCUAUUUCGCGUUCUUGCGUCUUUUUC
rnacentral:lncRNA from 1 species